rnacentral:lncRNA from 1 species
CCUACACAUUUUCUUUAAACAAGGUCUCCCUAUGUUGCCCAGCCUGGCCUUGAACUCCUAGGCUUAAAUGAUCCCCCUGUCUUGCCUCUCAAGUAGUUGGGACUACAAGUGUACCCAGGCUGCAUUUGACUGCAUUUGGGUUUCCCUCCUGCUGUGCUGCUAUCACCACAGAUCUUGCCAUGAGGAGUUCCAUGCAUGGCUCUUGGCUGAGUGUCUCUUCAGUUGCCAUGAAAGCUGGCAGAAGGUUUUAGCAGAAGGUGGCAUAUCUGAAUUCCAGGUUGAGAAUGGUGUAUCACUGCUAUGAACUAAAUUGCCCUGUCAUAUGUGACAGUGUCUGGAAAUGAGACCUUUGGAAGAUAAUCAUGAUUAGAUGAGACUAUGAGAAGAGAGCCCGAUGAUGAUUGGUGCCUUUAUAGGAAGGGACACCUGGAAGCUCUCACCACCCACCCUGACAAACCAAGAGAAGAAUCUGCAAACCAAAUCAAAGCUAACUGGCUACCACCUUGAUUUUAGACUUUCCCCUCCAGAACACCCAGCUACAGAAUAACUCCAGUUUGGCCUCCGGUCACAACUGAGACUUCAGUGAUCCAGUGAUGCUGUGAUUCUCCAGGACAAGAAACAUCCUGGGAGAACAAACAUCUGCUCAGUUCCUCGUUGUUCUUGGACUGUUAACAUCUUGUUUACCCCAGAUGUACCGAACUCUCUGCAAGCCUUUUGUUACACCUUGUUUAUCCCAAUGUGAACUACUGAACUCUCUGCAAGUCAUUUGUUACAUUUGUUUCUCCAGAUGUACUGAAUUCUCUGCAAGUCAUUUGUUACGAGGUACUGAAUAAAAGGUGUGGUAAACUGGGGGCUUUUGUCUUUGCCGCCCAGAGCAGCACUGAUCAGACCCAAAGCUCAGCUUCUUCUCAGUCUCAUUUUUCUACCUUUCCUGUAAUUUGCCGUGUGCUGCCGUGGCUCGCAGGAGACCAGGACUCACUGCAGAGGUUCUGGUAACGUCCCCUUCCCCUGUCCCCUACACUCGUGAUUCUGAAACCCAUUUCCUCAAGGACUGUCAGAGGCCUGUGGCUGCGUGGUUCAACCAGCAGGUACAGAAGGUCCGCAGGCGCAGGGCCUGGCAGGCAAGAGUGCUGCAUUGCCCUGCGUCCUGACCCACUGGCCUACUGCACCACACCCCAGGUGCAGUGCCACACCAAGAUCCAAGCCGGCAGAGGCUUCAGUCUGGAGGAGCUAUGGGUGGCAUUCACAAGAAGGUGGUCCAGAUCAUUGGCAUCUUGGUGGACCCAAGGAGGCUGAGCAAACCCACUGAGUCCCAUAGGGCAAUGUGCAGCCACAUUGUCCCCUUAACUCAGGAAGGGGAGACAGCUCUGCAGAAGAAACCAAAUUGGACAUCCCAGUGAUGCCCAUCCAGAACAUCUGCAAGAAGAAAAGACCAGGAUCAUCUCAGAGGAACAGAAGAACUUCAAGGCCUUCAUCAGCCUCACAUGGCCAGUGCCAAUGCCAGACUCCAGCAUCCAGGAAGAUGCAAGGAAAUUGGAGCGAGGUCAUUGAGAAGAAAAAAUAAAGCACUGUUGGGGUCUUCUAAUAAAUGCUCAGAAAAUCUAAAAAAAAAAUUAAAAUCCAAAUUUAUAGACAUGGAAGGUUAACGGUGCCAAGGGCUGGAGGAGGGUCAAGAAAAAUAUUUGGACUAUAUAAGAGGUGGUGGUAUGCAAC